rnacentral:rRNA from 1 species
GGGGAAUAUUGCACAAUGGACGAAAGUCUGACGGAGCAACGCCGCGUGAGUGAUGAAGGUUUUCGGAUCGUAAAGCUCUGUUGCCAGGGAAGAACGUCUUCUGGAGUAACUGCCAGGAGAGUGACGGUACCUGAGAAGAAAGCCCCGGCUAACUACGUGCCAGCAGCCGCGGUAAUACGUAGGGGGCAAGCGUUGUCCGGAAUUAUUGGGCGUAAAGCGCGCGCAGGCGGCUGUUAAGUCUGGUGUAUAAUCCUGGGGCUCAACUCCGGGUCGCACUGGAAACUGGACGGCUUGAGUGCAGAAGAGGAGAGUGGAAUUCCACGUGUAGCGGUGAAAUGCGUAGAGAUGUGGAGGAACACCAGUGGCGAAGGCGACUCUCUGGGCUGUAACUGACGCUGAGGCGCGAAAGCGUGGGGAGCAAAC